rnacentral:misc_RNA from 1 species
GAUGAAGAACGUAGCGAAAUGCGAUAAGUAAUGUGAAUUGCAGAAUUCAGUGAAUCAUCGAAUCUUUGAACGCACCUUGCGCCCUUUGGCCAUUCCGAAGGGCAUGCCUGUUUGAGUAUCAUGAACCCCUCAACUCUUCAUGGUUUUCCGUGAUGAGCUUGGACUUUGGGGGUCUUGCUGGCCUAUGGUCAGCUCCUCUAAAAUAAAUCAGCUUGCCAGUGUUUGGUGGGUAUCACAGGUGUGAUAACUAUCUACGCUUGUGGUUUUCCACCAGGUAACCUUCAGCAGUGGAGGUUCGCUGGAGCUCACAGAUGUGUCUCUCCUCAGUGAGGACAGCUCUUUGAAUGUUUGAUCUCAAAUCAGGUAGGACUACCCGCUGAACUUAAGCAUAUCAAUAAGCGGAGGA